rnacentral:rRNA from 1 species
AACCUGCGGAAGGAUCAUUACCGAGUGAGGGCCCUCUGGGUCCAACCUCCCACCCGUGUUUAUUUACCUUGUUGCUUCGGCGAGCCUGCCUUUUGGCUGCCGGGGGACGUCAGUCCCCGGGUCCGUGCUCGCCGGAGACACCUUAGAACUCUGUCUGAAGAUUGUAGUCUGAGAUUAAAUAUAAAUUAUUUAAAACUUUCAACAACGGAUCUCUUGGUUCCGGCAUCGAUGAAGAACGCAGCGAAAUGCGAUACGUAAUGUGAAUUGCAGAAUUCAGUGAAUCAUCGAGUCUUUGAACGCACAUUGCGCCCUCUGGUAUUCCGGAGGGCAUGCCUGUCCGAGCGUCAUUGCUGCCCUCAAGCACGGCUUGUGUGUUGGGCCCCGUCCUCCUUCCGGGGGACGGGUCCGAAAGGCAGCGGCGGCACCGCGUCCGGUCCUCAAGCGUAUGGGGCUUUGUCACUCGCUUUGUAGGCCUGGCCGGCGCUUGCCGAUCAACCAAACUUUUUAUCAGGUUGACCUCGGAUCAGGUAGGGAUACCCGCUGAACUUAAGCAUAUCAAUAAGCGGAGGAAAAGAAACCAACAGGGAUUACCUC